CCUUUGGACCACAGCGUUUCAGGAACUUCUUACAGUACUCUGCUCUACCAACUGAGCUAUGAAGGUGCUUUUAGAUACAAACGCAGAAAACAUAGUGGCUUCGGCGACACACUUUGCCAACAAUACAAUUGGACCCACAUGGUCAAUGAAAAAGGUUGAACAGUGCAUAUACCAAUGAAAUCUGGUGCUUGGAGCUGGAGUUGAACCAGCGACCUUUGGACUACAGCGUUUCAGGAACUUCUUACAGUCCUCUGCUCUACCAACUGAGCUAUGAAGCUGCUUAUAUAUACAAAUGCAGAAAACAUAGUGGCUUCGGUGACACACUUUGCCAACAAUACAAUAGGACGCACAUGGUCAACGAAAAAGGUUGAACAGUGCAUAGACCAAUGAAAUAUGGUGUUUGGAGCAGGAGUUGAACCAGCGACCUUUGGACCACAGCGUUUCAGGAACUUCUUAAAGUCAUGUGCUCUACCAACUGAGCUAUGAAGGUGCUUAUAGAUACAAACGCAGAAAACAUAGUGGCUUUGGCGACACACUUUGCCAACAAUACAAUUGGACCCACAUGGUCAAUGAAAAAGGUUGAACAGUGCAUAUACCAAUGAAAUCUGGUGCUUUGAGCUGGAGUUGAACCAGCGACCUUUGGACGACAGCGUUUCAGAAACUUCUUACAGUCCUCUGCUCUACCAACUGAGCUAUGAAGCUGCUCAUAGACACAACUGCAGAAAACAUAGUGGCUUCGGCGACACACUUUGCCAACAAUACAAUUGGACCCGCAUGGUCGAUGAAAAAGGUUGAACAGUGCAUACACCAAUGAAAUCUAGUGUUUGGAGCAGGAGUUGAACCAGCGACCUUUGGACCACAGCGUUUCAGGAACUUCUUAAAGUCAUGUGCUCUACCAACUGAGCUAUGAAGGUGCUUAUAGAUACAAACGCAGAAAACAUAGUGGCUUCGGCGACACACUUUGCCAACAAUAUAAUUGGACCCACAUGGUCAAUGAAAAAGGUUGAACAGUGCAUAGACCAAUGAAAUCUGGUGUUUGGAGCAGGAGUUGAACCAGCGACCUUUGGACCACAGCGUUUCAGGAACUUCUUAAAGUCAUGUGCUCUACCAACUGAGCUAUGAAGGUGCUUAUAGAUACAAACGCAGAAAACAUAGUGGCUUUGGCGACACACUUUGCCAACAAUACAAUUGGACCCACAUGGUCAAUGAAAAAGGUUGAACAGUGCAUAUACCAAUGAAAUCUGGUGCUUUGAGCUGGAGUUGAACCAGCGACCUUUGGACCACAGCGUUUCAGGAACUUCUUAAAGUCCUCUGCUCUACCAACUGAGCUAUGAAGGUGCUCAUAAACACAACCACAGAAAACAUAGUGGCUUCGGCGACACACUUUGCCAACAAUACAAUAGGACGCACAUGGUCAAUGAAAAAGGUUGAACAGUGCAUAGACCAAUGAAAUCUAGUGUUUGGAGCAGGAGUUGAACCAGCCACCUUUGGACCACAGCGUUUCAGGAACUUCUUAAAGUCAUGUGCUCUACCAACUGAGCUAUGAAGGUGCUUAUAGAUACAAACGCAGAAAACAUAGUGGCUUCGGCGACACACUUUGCCAACAAUACAAUAGGACGCACAUGGUCAAUGAAAAAGGUUGAACAGUGCAUAGACCAAUGAAAUCUAGUGUUUGGAGCAGGAGUUGAACCAGCCACCUUUGGACCACAGCGUUUCAGGAACUUCUUACAGUACUCUGCUCUACCAACUGAGCUAUGAAGGUGCUUAUAGAUACAAACGCAGAAAACAUAGUGGCUUCGGCGACACACUUUGCCAACAAUACAAUUGGACCCACAUGGUCAAUGAAAAAGGUUGAACAGUGCAUAUACCAAUGAAAUCUGGUGCUUGGAGCUGGAGUUGAACCAGCGACCUUUGGACUACAGCGUUUCAGGAAUUUCUUACAGUCCUCUGCUCUACCAACUGAGCUAUGAAGCUGCUUAUAUAUACAAAUGCAGAAAACAUAGUGGCUUCGGUGACACACUUUGCCAACAAUACAAUAGGACGCACAUGGUCAACGAAAAAGGUUGAACAGUGCAUAGACCAAUGAAAUCUAGUGUUUGGAGCAGGAGUUGAACCAGCGACCUUUGGACCACAGCGUUUCAGGAACUUCUUAAAGUCAUGUGCUCUACCAACUGAGCUAUGAAGGUGCUUAUAGAUACAAACGCAGAAAACAUAGUGGCUUCGGCGACACACUUUGCCAACAAUACAAUUGGACCCACAUGGUCAAUGAAAAAGGUUGAACAGUGCAUAUACCAAUGAAAUCUGGUGUUUGGAGCAGGAGUUGAACCAGCGACCUUUGGACCACAGCGUUUCAGAAACUUCUUAAAGUCCUCUGCUCUACCAACUGAGCUAUGAAGGUGCUUAUAGAUACAAACGCAGAAAACAUAGUGGCUUCGGCGACACACUUUGCCAACAAUACAAUUGGACCCACAUGGUCAAUGAAAAAGGUUGAACAGUGCAUAUACCAAUGAAAUCUGGUGUUUGGAGCAGGAGUUGAACCAGCGACCUUUGGACCACAGGGUUUCAGGAACUUCUUAAAGUCAUGUGCUCUACCAACUGAGCUAUGAAGGUGCUUAUAGAUACAAACGCAGAAAACAUAGUGGCUUCGGCGACACACUUUGCCAACAAUACAAUUGGACCCACAUGGUCAAUGAAAAAGGUUGAACAGUGCAUAGACCAAUGAAAUCUGGUGUUUGGAGCUGGAGUUGAACCAGGCACCUUUGGACCACAGCGUUUCAGGAACUUCUUAAAGUCAUGUGCUCUACCAACUGAGCUAUGAAGGUGCUUAUAGAUACAAACGCAGAAAACAUAGUGGCUUUGGCGACACACUUUGCCAACAAUACAAUUGGACCCACAUGGUCAAUGAAAAAGGUUGAACAGUGCAUACACCAAUGAAAUCUAGUGUUUGGAGCAGGAGUUGAACCAGCGACCUUUGGACCACAGCGUUUCAGGAACUUCUUACAGUACUCUGCUCUACCAACUGAGCUAUGAAGGUGCUUAUAUAUACAAACGCAGAAAACAUAGUGGCUUCGGCGACACACUUUGCCAACAAUACAAUAGGAGGCACAUGGUCAAUGAAAAAGGUUGAACAGUGUAUAGACCAAUGAAAUCUAGUGUUUGGAGCAGGAGUUGAACCAGCGACCUUUGGACCACAGCGUUUCUUGAACUUCUUAAAGUCAUGUGCUCUACCAACUGAGCUAUGAAGGUGCUUAUAGAUACAAACGCAGAAAAUUAGUGGCUUUGGCGACACACUUUGCCAACAAUACAAUUGGACCCACAUGGUCAAUGAAAAAGGUUGAACAGUGCAUAUACCAAUGAAAUCUGGUGUUUGGAGCAGGAGUUGAACCAGCGACCUUUGGAACACAGCGUUUCAGGAACUUCUUAAAGUCAUGUGCUCUACCAACUGAGCUAUGAAGGUGCUUAUAGAUACAAACGCAGAAAACAUAGUGGCUUCGGCGACACACUUUGCCAACAAUACAAUUGGACCCACAUGGUCAAUGAAAAAGGUUGAACAGUGCAUAGACCAAUGAAAUCUGGUGUUUGGAGCUGGAGUUGAACCAGCCACCUUUGGACCACAGCGUUUCAGGAACUUCUUAAAGUCAUGUGCUCUACCAACUGAGCUAUGAAGGUGCUUAUAGAUACAAAUGCAGAAAACAUAGUGGCUUCGGCGACACACUUUGCCAACAAUAUAAUUGGACCCACAUGGUCAAUGAAAAAGGUUGAACAGUGCAUAGACCAAUGAAAUCUGGUGUUUGGAGCAGGAGUUGAACCAGCGACCUUUGGACCACAGCGUUUCAGGAACUUCUUAAAGUCAUGUGCUCUACCAACUGAGCUAUGAAGGUGCUUAUAGAUACAAACGCAGAAAACAUAGUGGCUUUGGUGACACACUUUGCCAACAAUACAAUUGGACCCACAUGGUCAAUGAAAAAGGUUGAACAGUGCAUAUACCAAUGAAAUCUGGUGCUUUGAGCUGGAGUUGAACCAGCGACCUUUGGACCACAGCGUUUCAGAAACUUCUUAAAGUCCUCUGCUCUACCAACUGAGCUAUGAAGGUGCUCAUAGACACAACCACAGAAAACAUAGUGGCUUCGGCGACACACUUUGCCAACAAUACAAUAGGACGCACAUGGUCAAUGAAAAAGGUUGAACAGUGUAUAGACCAAUGAAAUCUAGUGUUUGGAGCAGGAGUUGAACCAGCGACCUUUGGACCACAGCGUUUCUUGAACUUCUUAAAGUCAUGUGCUCUACCAACUGAGCUAUGCAGGUGCUUAUAUAAACAAAUACAGAAAACAUAGUGGCUUCGGCGACACACUUUGCCAACAAUACAAUAGGAUGCACAUGGUCAAUGAAAAAGGUUGAACAGUGCAUAGAACAAUGAAAUCUAGUGUUUGGAGCAGGAGUUGAACCAGCGACCUUUGGACCACAGCGUUUCAGGAACUUCUUAAAGUCCUCUGCUCUACCAACUGAGCUAUGAAGCUGCUCAUAGCCACAACUGCAGAAAACAUAGUGGCUUCGGCGACACACUUUGCCAACAAUACAAUUGGACCCGCAUGGUCGAUAAAAAAGGUUGAACAGUGCAUACACCAAUGAAAUCUAGUGUUUGGAGCAGGAGUUGAACCAGCGACCUUUGGACCACAGCGUUUCAGGAACUUCUUAAAGUCAUGUGCUUUACCAACUGAGCUAUGAAGGUGCUUAUAGAUACAAACGCAGAAAACAUAUUGGCUUCGGCGACACACUUUGCCAACAAUAUAAUUGGACCCACAUGGUCAAUGAAAAAGGUUGAACAGUGCAUAGACCAAUGAAAUCUGGUGUUUGGAGCAGGAGUUGAACCAGCGACCUUUGGACCACAGCGUUUCAGGAAUUUCUUAAAGUCAUGUGCUCUACCAACUGAGCAAUGAAGGUGCUUAUAGAUACAAACGCAGAAAACAUAGUGGCUUCGGCGACACACUUUGCCAACAAUACAAUUGGACCCACAUGGUCGAUGAAAAAGGUUGAACAGUGCAUACACCAAUGAAAUCUAGUGUUUGGAGCAGGAGUUGAACCAGCGACCUUUGGACCACAGCGUUUCAGGAACUUCUUAAAGUCAUGUGCUCUACCAACUGAGCUAUGAAGGUGCUUAUAUAUACAAACGCAGAAAACAUAGUGGCUUCGGCGACACACUUUGCCAACAAUACAAUAGGACGCACAUGGUCAAUGAAAAAGGUUGAACAGUGUAUAGACC